rnacentral:tRNA from 1 species
GAGGCUGUGGCUCAGUUGUAGAGCGCUCGUGUGGCAUAUGUGAGGCACUGGGUUCGAUCCCCAGCACCACA